UACAGAGGGUGCAAGCGUUGUUCGGAAUUACUGGGCGUAAAGAGUGUGUAGGCGGUGCUCCAAGUCUGUUGUGAAAUCUCCCGGCUUAACCGGGAGGGUGCAGCGGAAACUGGAAUGCUUGAGGGUGGGAGAGGUAAGCGGAAUUCCUGGUGUAGCGGUGAAAUGCGUAGAUAUCAGGAGGAACACCUGUGGUGUAGACAGCUUACUGGACCACUUCUGACGCUGAGACACGAAAGCGUGGGUAGCAAACAGG
rnacentral:rRNA from 1 species